rnacentral:lncRNA from 1 species
UCGAGUUCAAUGCCUUGGACCCCCGAACGGCGUCGUGUCUGGAGUUCCUGGCGCAGUGCAACGCCCGCAAGGCCAAGGAGUCCAACCCCUCCUGCGCCGUCCAAGUCAAGCGCCGCACCGACGACCAGCCCCCCAAGAUCACCGUCACCUUCGUCAAUGGCGUCGAGCAGGUCUACGACGCCACCGCCACUCCCGCCCAGGACAUCCGCAACAUGAUCCUCGAAAAGGGUCAGAGCCUCGAGA